GGUUUAGGUAGUUUCAUGUUGUUGGGGCUCCACCUUUCUCUCUACAGCACGAAACUGCCUUAAUUACUUCAGUUG
rnacentral:pre_miRNA from 2 species